rnacentral:rRNA from 1 species
AUUGAACGCUGGCGGCAUGCCUUACACAUGCAAGUCGAACGGCAGCACGGGGGCAACCCUGGUGGCGAGUGGCGAACGGGUGAGUAAUAUAUCGGAACGUGCCCUGGAGUGGGGGAUAGCUCGGCGAAAGCCGGAUUAAUACCGCAUACGAUCUAUGGAUGAAAGUGGGGGAUCGCAAGACCUCAUGCUCCUGGAGCGGCCGAUAUCUGAUUAGCUAGUUGGUGGGGUAAAAGCCUACCAAGGCGACGAUCAGUAGCUGGUCUGAGAGGACGACCAGCCACACUGGAACUGAGACACGGUCCAGACUCCUACGGGAGGCAGCAGUGGGGAAUUUUGGACAAUGGGGGCAACCCUGAUCCAGCAAUGCCGCGUGUGUGAAGAAGGCCUUCGGGUUGUAAAGCACUUUUGGCGGGAACGAAACGGUUUGGGCUAAUACCCUGAGCUAAUGACGGUACCCGCAGAAUAAGCACCGGCUAACUACGUGCCAGCAGCCGCGGUAAUACGUAGGGUGCAAGCGUUAAUCGGAAUUACUGGGCGUAAAGCGUGCGCAGGCGGUUUGGUAAGACAGAUGUGAAAUCCCCGGGCUCAACCUGGGAAUUGCAUUUGUGACUGCCCGGCUAGAGUGUGUCAGAGGGGGGUAGAAUUCCACGUGUAGCAGUGAAAUGCGUAGAUAUGUGGAGGAAUACCGAUGGCGAAGGCAGCCCCCUGGGAUAACACUGACGCUGAGGCGCGAAAGCGUGGGGAGCAAACAGGAUUAGAUACCCUGGUAGUCCACGCCGUAAACGAUGAGUGCUAGGUGUAGAGGGUAUCGACCCCUUCUGUGCCGCAGUUAACACAAUAAGCACUCCGCCUGGGGAGUACGGCCGCAAGGUUGAAACUCAAAGGAAUUGACGGGGGCCCGCACAAGCGGUGGAGCAUGUGGUUUAAUUCGACGCAACGCGAAGAACCUUACCAGGGCUUGACAUCCUACGAAUCCCUAGGAAACUAGGGAGUGCCCUUCGGGGAGCGUAGAGACAGGUGGUGCAUGGUUGUCGUCAGCUCGUGUCGUGAGAUGUUGGGUUAAGUCCCGCAACGAGCGCAACCCUGUGUUUAGUUGCUAACGAGUAAUGGCGAGCACUCUAGACAGACUGCCGGUGAUAAACCGGAGGAAGGUGGGGAUGACGUCAAAUCAUCAUGCCCCUUAUGUCCUGGGCUACACACGUGCUACAAUGGCCGGUACAGACGGAAGCAAAGCCGCGAGGUGGAGCAAAUCCGAGAAAGCCGGUCUCAGUUCGGAUUGCAGGCUGCAACUCGCCUGCAUGAAGUCGGAAUCGCUAGUAAUCGCAGGUCAGCAUACUGCGGUGAAUACGUUCCCGGGCCUUGUACACACCGCCCGUCACACCACGAAAGUCUGCAACACCCGAAGCCGGUGAGGUAACCCGAAAGGGAGCUAGC